rnacentral:tRNA from 1 species
GGUUGUGGCUCAGUGGUAGAGAAUUCACCUAGCACAUGCAAGGCCCUGGGUUCAAUCCUCAGCACCA